rnacentral:rRNA from 1 species
UCGAUUAAGCCAUGCGAGUCGCGAGAAAUUAGAUUCUCGGCGUACCGCUCAGUAACACGUGGGUAACCUGCCCUAUGCUGGAUAAUAACCUCGGGAAACUGAGAAUAAUGAUCCAUGGUUCACUACGCCUGGAACGGUGAGUGGAUGAAAGCUCCGGCGGCAUAGGAUGGGCCUGCGGCGUAUCAGGUUGUAGGGGGUGUAACGUACCCUCUAGCCCUCUACGCGUACGGGUGUUGGGAGACAUAGCCCGGAGAUGGAUUCUGAGACACGAAUCCAGACCCUACGGGGUGCAGCAGGCGCGAAAACUUGGCAAUGCGAGAAAUCGUGACCAGGGAACUCCAAGUGCAUGGGGUAAGACCCAUGCUUUUCUUGACUCUAAAUAGGUCUUGGAAUAAGGGGUGGGUAAGGACGGUGCCAGCCCCCUCGGUAAUACCGGCGCCUCAAGUGGUAGUCGCCUUUAUUGGGCCUAAAACGUCCGUAGCCGGUCUGAUACAUUCGUGGGUAAAUCAACCAGCUUAACUGGUUGAAUUCUGCGAGGACGGUCAGACUUGGGACCGGGAGAGGUGUGGGGUACGCUCAGGGUAGGGAUAAAAUCCUGUCAUCCUGAGCGGACCACCUGUUGCGAAGGCGCCA